rnacentral:rRNA from 1 species
CAAAAACAUUUUUUAAUGAAUUUAUACUAAAUAAAACCUGCCCUCUGUUGAUAUAAAAAGCCGCAGAAAAUUUACUGUGCUAAGGUAGCAUAAUCACUUGUCUUUUAACUGAAGACUAGAAUGAAAGGUAUUACAUUUAAUCAUCUUUUUUAGUGAUGAUUUUUUAACUUUCAAUAAAAAUAAAAAUAUUUUUAUUUAUAUAAAAGACGAUAAGACCCUUAUGAACUUAACUGCAGUUAGGCUGGGGAAGCCCUUUAACUAUUAUCUUACCGCAAUAUUUUAAAUGAAUAACCUAUAAUAGAACUUUAAUCAAGUUACCAAAGGGAUAACAGCGUUAUAUUUUUUCAAAGUUCUUAUUAAUAAACUAGUAUACGACCUCGAUGUUGAAUUAAUUUCCCUCCCUUAUGCAAGAAUAAGAUGAGUAAGUCUGUUCGACUUUUAAAAAAUUACAUGAUCUGAGUUCAAACCGG